AUCCAGCCACUCAUACCUACCCUACAACGGCUUUCUGAAACUAAACAGUCACAUUGUUGAAAUCUCAAAGUUACAAGGCAACACAGGAUUAAUUUGAAGCAAAGAGAAUAAAUAAGCAUUACAUUUGGCAGAGUAAUCUGAAUGCUAAAGGGCUAAAAACAGAACAGCUACAUUGUAGAUCUUUAGCAUCAUCAUUAUAUUUCUGCUUCCCAUGGCACAAGUUUGAUGGAUCAUCACAGUCCGAGUCAUUUCUUAUUUGGAGUGACUGCUCUCCUAGAUUUGUGAAGCAAUUUUAAUUCGGUUGAUAAUAAACAAGAACAGUUGGCCCUUCAGACUUCCCGUUGAUGAACGACAGGUCCCUGAUUAUUACGAAUUAAUUGCCAACCCAAUUGACCUUCGAACAAUAAAACAUAAAGUUGUGGAUGCAGAAUAUAAAUACAC
rnacentral:lncRNA from 1 species